rnacentral:tRNA from 1 species
GGAUUGUGGCCUAGCGGUAGAGUGCUCGCCUAGCAUGUGCAGGGCUCUGGGUUCGAUCCUCAGCACCA